GAGAAGUUGAGUUGGUGUGAAAUGCUCUACUGACUCAGUGAGUCUGAGUGCUACAUGAUUGUAGUGAUGUACGACACUGGCACAGCGCAGUGACAACUGACGCUCCUGACUGUAGAAUCUACAACGGAAUCCGGCGAAUGAUCAUGAUUGUAGCGGCAUAGCGCCUGCAUAGAUCUACGAUUUGUGAGCAGUACAAACCGUCCAUUGUCCAGUUCAGCCUCAGGGAAAUGUUUUCACAAGUAGCCACAGUGACUGAGUCUCUGUCAGUUCGCUUGUCCCUCGAGCAAAACACAGUUACACUCGUUGAUGCGGGAGUUCCAGUCAAGCUGAGGAAGCAGCUAACGUUACCCCGUCGACAGGAAGUACUCGUAGAUCUACGAGUCAUAGAUCUACUCUGCUGGGACACGGAAUGUCGCAUCUUGCACGUCAGUCCACUGAGGACAUGAUAGCAGAAGUCACUUUGCGGCUGUCCAAGAACCAUAGAAGUUAGAACGGGGAGCAUGAUGUUCCGGGGUAUGGCCGAGCACUGGUGGCAGUGCUAGUGGUGCAUUCGUUAGCCAUUUCGGUGUUGUCAACUCACAGCGUCUCCGGCUUGCCAAACUACUCAUCUCGAUGCCGGCUUGGCGAGCGGUAGCCUGCAUGCAUUCGCCGCUGCUAGGAACGGACGAGAAGGGACGCAGGUGAUGAGCAAUGGCAGCAGAGCCAAACGUCUCUUUCCUCGUCUUGUCGCAUCGCAACUGGUCGAGGAGCCACUCGUGUCAUGAUCAUGCGGCCUAUUAUCGUUAGGGACCUAGCCCUAGGUGCAGUUUUCGGUGUUGAGGAUUCAGUGUGGAGGCUUGAAUUGCCACCUCGGAAACUUCACAUCACACCAUCACUGCACUGCUUGGUGUGGCUAACUCAUCUUGCAGGGAGCUCAGGCGGUGCAUUACCUUCAUCAGCGUCACAAUGUCACACAAUCCAGCUAUCGGUACCACGGCUAGGAGUAUAGAAAUAGCCGCACUGCUGCCAGACCUGCAGUGACAUUAAAUGUUUUGUCUUCAAGGCAUCUCUCACAGAGUCUGAUGCUCUACACAAUAGAUCAGGACUCCGGUGCGAAUGUACUAGAAACUGAUGCAGCUAACUUAGCCCUGAGAAGGACAGUAUAGGAGCGCUCGAAAGCAAUUGCAGUGUUUCAAACCAAUAGCUGUGCUGCUCGCCUGAAAGCUCAGAUUGGAGAGGACUGCAUGGAGCUGAUCGCUACUGUACGUGACAUGGGCGAGGAGCUGGAGAUCUACGCUGCAAAUCUCACCUAUGCAGAGAGUGUCUUCUGUGCUAGAUCUACAUACAGGAUCACUACCAGUAUGUUGAUGGGCACAGCACAAAGCAGCAUCUGAUAGUGUGCAAAGAUGGCUUGAAGCGGACUUCUCGCCACUACCCUCGUCAUAUCCCAGAUCACCCGGGGCAAUUCCCACACCUGUGCAGAGAGCUACCUCCACACCAUUCAAGGUUGCACGCCGGGAUGUGGAGAGCUUCCUCCACACCAUCCAGGGUCGCACCACUGCCAAGGAUGCGGAGAGCUAGCCCGACACAAGUAAAUGCUCGUCUGAUUCAUUUCAUCACACCGUCCAAGGUCGCACCAAUGCCGAGGAUGCGGAGAGCUAGCCCGACACAAGUAAAAUACUCGUCUGAUCCAUUUCGUCGAGUGCCCAGUAUGUGCGCAUGGUGGAAGUGCCAUAGUACUGUGUCGAUCGAUGUCAGCAAUUACGGCCACCCUGAUUCACUACAGCUCAGAGCAGUCACACAGCGAGUAGAGACCUCUUUGACAGCGGUGAAGGCGAGAACGCAUCGGCGAGUCAUGGAGGCUGUGAAACACAGCACAACGCCUAUCUCUGAGUCUGUGCGUUGCUGGCAUGUACCAGCAGCUAUAUGCAGUCUGUUCUCAUGCAGUCUGUUCUCUACUUUUUGCCACAGUGAGGCUGUCGGUGCUCAGGAACCACCUCACCGUUCAUUCGGCUCGUUCUUGCUCCAAAUUGGUUGUCAUGCAUGCUACUUUCUAUUUCAGAGUUUCGCUCUUGAAUUUCUUACAGUCUGCGCUUUCCCAUGUGUCAUUAUUGAGAAAAAUAAUGCCCCCCCCCAACCUUUAUUACGCCGCUGUAAUUGGCCCAUACCCCCUCUCCCCAUAUUGGGUGUGCCUUCUUCACAUGUACCACUUCUGCAACCUUCAUAUGCUCUCCCUCUGCCCCCAUUUGACCCAGUACUGCAGGAAUCCUGGUGUGAAAAUUCAUGUGUAUUAAAAGUCAAAAUGUUUCCAACAGAAUGAGAACAAACCAGAAAUUUCCAGCAAAAAUAUUACUUGAAACUCGGAUGUUGAGCCAUAAAUAAAUGUGGAAGAGAAAAGGACAUAUGGAUACGAGUUAAGAGUAACUCUCCAUCACUGUAACAUGAUACUAUAUACAGUCAGAAAGUGCAAUAACUAGGCACAAAACUGACAGAGUACUGAAACAUUCGACGUCGGCACUUUCUGACUGUAUAUAGUAUCAUGUUACAGUGAUGGAGAGUUACUCUUAACUCGUAUCCAUAUGUCCUUUUCUCUUCCACAAAAAUAUUACUAUGAAAGUUAUCUGGGGGAAAUUGAAAACAAUGUGCAAAUGAAAUAAAUUGUGAAAAAUGGGGGUCUCGCUCCACAUAAACCGGUGUAAACCAGACAGACAACGGAGGC